rnacentral:rRNA from 1 species
AAGUAGUAUUAGUUAUGGUCUUGAAACUUAAGAGAUUUGGCAGUAUUUUAUAUUAUUAGAGGAAUCUGUUUUUUAAUUGAUAAUCCACGACUAAAUUUACUUUGUAUAUUUUACUUGUAUACCGUUGUCAUGAAUGUAUUUUAAAAUUUAUUUUUUUCUUCUUAUAAAUUUUAUGUUAAAUCAAGGUGCAGUUUUAUAAGUUUAUAAUGGAUUACUUUUUGGAAUAUGAAUGUUGAAUAGAAAUCGGAUUUAAUAGUAAAUUUAAAAGAGAUAAUAUGAAUUUAUAUUCUAAAAUAUG